CACGGAGGGGACUAGCGUUGUUCGGAAUUACUGGGCGUAAAGCGCGCGUAGGCGGAUUUGCAAGUCGGGGGUGAAAGCCCGAGGCUCAACCUCGGAACUGCCCUCGAUACUGCAAAUCUCGAGUCCGAGAGAGGUGAGUGGAAUUCCUAGUGUAGAGGUGAAAUUCGUAGAUAUUAGGAAGAACACCAGUGGCGAAGGCGGCUCACUGGCUCGGUACUGACGCUGAGGCGCGAAAGCGUGGGGAGCAAACAGG
rnacentral:rRNA from 1 species